GGGGAAAAAAACGAAUUUGGGGAGGAAAGUGGAGAGGGAUCAUAGCAGCUAGGCAAGCGAUGAGCACCUUGUCCGGCGAUGAGCAGAGAGAGAGAGAGACAGAGGGGAUUGCUAUUUCACCUCUAUCCUGGCGGCGUCGGCGGCUGCGGCGAGGGGUACUCGUGGUGGGCAGUGCCGCAGGCGAGGUCGCCGGAGAUAUUAGGGAAGGGGGGAGGAGUGUCCAUGGUGUGGCGCGGCUGCCGGUAGCGUCGACCGAUAUAUAUGGACUCUGCCGCCACUGCUCCUCCAAGGCGACUGCCGGCGCCGGCAUCGAGUGUAAUCUAACAUUAACAAGAUACAGAUGAUGGAAUAUCUUUUUCUGCUGAGUCAAAAGGAAAUCAGCUGACCGAAAUCUAGAGAAAAAGAUCUCUGAAAUUGCCAUUUUUUUGUUUCUCAGGAUUCUGGCGAGCGAAUAAGUUCUUGUAUUGAUUCUGUUCUUUCAAUUAUAUAUAUUUAUACAGAGAAGAGAGAAUUGCGUUAGAGAAGAAAUUGCAAGGAUGUUAUAUAUUAAUUUAGAGUUGCUUUUUAAGGAUGGUUAUCGUGGAAGGAUCGAUUCUCUUUGGAGACAACAAAUUUAGCUAUUUUAUGUAAAGUAAUUUAAGUUUAUUCUUAUUCUUCAAUGAUCGAUCAUUCAUCUACU